rnacentral:rRNA from 1 species
AUUGAACGCUGGCGGCAUGCUUUACACAUGCAAGUCGAACGGUAACAGGCCGCAAGGUGCUGACGAGUGGCGAACGGGUGAGUAAUGCAUCGGAACGUGCCCAGUCGUGGGGGAUAACGCAGCGAAAGCUGUGCUAAUACCGCAUACGAUCUAUGGAUGAAAGCGGGGGACCGUAAGGCCUCGCGCGAUUGGAGCGGCCGAUGUCAGAUUAGGUAGUUGGUGGGGUAAAGGCUCACCAAGCCAACGAUCUGUAGCGGGUCUGAGAGGACGACCAGCCACACUGGGACUGAGACACGGCCCAGACUCCUACGGGAGGCAGCAGUGGGGAAUUUUGGACAAUGGGCGCAAGCCUGAUCCAGCAAUGCCGCGUGCAGGAAGAAGGCCUUCGGGUUGUAAACUGCUUUUGUACGGAACGAAACGGCGAGCUCUAAUACAGUUUGCUAAUGACGGUACCGUAAGAAUAAGCACCGGCUAACUACGUGCCAGCAGCCGCAGUAA